rnacentral:siRNA from 1 species
AAAUAAACUGCCUGUGUUUUGUUU